UGAAUGAUGAAGGCCUUAGGGUUGUAAAGCUCUUUCGCACGUGACGAUGAUGACGGUAACGUGAGAAGAAGCCCCGGCUAACUUCGUGCCAGCAGCCGCGGUAAUAAUAACGAAGGGGGCUAGCGUUGUUCGGAAUUACUGGGCGUAAAGGGCGCGUAGGCGGUUUAUCAAGUCAGGCGUGAAAGCCCCGGGCUUAACCUGGGAACUGCGCUUGAGACUGUGAGACUAGAG
rnacentral:rRNA from 1 species